ensembl:rRNA 5S_rRNA 5S ribosomal RNA
UCUACGCCCAUACCACCCUGAACACGUCCGAGCUCGUCUGAUCUCAGGAGCUAAGCAAGGUCGGGCCUGGUAGGUACUUGGACAGGAGGAUCUUUGCACAGGUGCCUGGUACACAGGUCAUCAAUAAAU